rnacentral:tRNA from 1 species
GAACUGGUUAGCUCAGUCGGUUAGAGCGUGGUGCUGAUAACAACAAGGUCGCGGGUUCAAUCCCUAUUCGGUCCC